rnacentral:misc_RNA from 1 species
GUGGCCAUUUCAUAGUACUGG